UACGGAGGGUGCGAGCGUUAAUCGGAAUUACUGGGCGUAAAGCGUGCGCAGGCGGUUGUGCAAGACAGAUUUGAAAUCCCCGGGCUUAACCUGGGAACUGCAUUUGUGACUGCACGGCUAGAGUGUGUCAGAGGGGGGUAGAAUUCCACGUGUAGCAGUGAAAUGCGUAGAUAUGUGGAGGAAUACCGAUGGCGAAGGCAGCCCCCUGGGAUAACACUGACGCUCAUGCACGAAAGCGUGGGGAGCAAACAGG
rnacentral:rRNA from 1 species